UUAAAUUGAAGAGUUUGAUCAUGGCUCAGAUUGAACGCUGGCGGCAGGCCUAACACAUGCAAGUCGAACGGUAACAGGAAACAGCUUGCUGUUUCGCUGACGAGUGGCGGACGGGUGAGUAAUGUCUGGGAAACUGCCUGAUGGAGGGGGAUAACUACUGGAAACGGUAGCUAAUACCGCAUAACGUCGCAAGACCAAAGAGGGGGACCUUCGGGCCUCUUGCCAUCGGAUGUGCCCAGAUGGGAUUAGCUUGUUGGUGGGGUAACGGCUCACCAAGGCGACGAUCCCUAGCUGGUCUGAGAGGAUGACCAGCCACACUGGAACUGAGACACGGUCCAGACUCCUACGGGAGGCAGCAGUGGGGAAUAUUGCACAAUGGGCGCAAGCCUGAUGCAGCCAUGCCGCGUGUAUGAAGAAGGCCUUCGGGUUGUAAAGUACUUUCAGCGGGGAGGAAGGGAGUAAAGUUAAUACCUUUACUCAUUGACGUUACCCGCAGAAGAAGCACCGGCUAACUCCGUGCCAGCAGCCGCGGUAAUACGGAGGGUGCAAGCGUUAAUCGGAAUUACUGGGCGUAAAGCGCACGCAGGCGGUUUGUUAAGUCAGAUGUGAAAUCCCGGGCUCAACCUGGGAACUGCAUCUGAUACUGGCAAGCUUGAGUCUCGUAGAGGGGGGUAGAAUUCCAGGUGUAGCGGUGAAAUGCGUAGAGAUCUGGAGGAAUACCGGUGGCGAAGGCGGCCCCCUGGACGAAGACUGACGCUCAGGUGCGAAAGCGUGGGGAGCAAACAGGAUUAGAUACCCUGGUAGUCCACGCCGUAAACGAUGUCGACUUGGAGGUUGUGCCCUUGAGGCGUGGCUUCCGGAGCUAACGCGUUAAGUCGACCGCCUGGGGAGUACGGCCGCAAGGUUAAAACUCAAAUGAAUUGACGGGGGCCCGCACAAGCGGUGGAGCAUGUGGUUUAAUUCGAUGCAACGCGAAGAACCUUACCUGGUCUUGACAUCCACGGAAGUUUUCAGAGAUGAGAAUGUGCCUUCGGGAACCGUGAGACAGGUGCUGCAUGGCUGUCGUCAGCUCGUGUUGUGAAAUGUUGGGUUAAGUCCCGCAACGAGCGCAACCCUUAUCCUUUGUUGCCAGCGGUCCGGCCGGGAACUCAAAGGAGACUGCCAGUGAUAAACUGGAGGAAGGUGGGGAUGACGUCAAGUCAUCAUGGCCCUUACGACCAGGGCUACACACGUGCUACAAUGGCGCAUACAAAGAGAAGCGACCUCGCGAGAGCAAGCGGACCUCAUAAAGUGCGUCGUAGUCCGGAUUGGAGUCUGCAACUCGACUCCAUGAAGUCGGAAUCGCUAGUAAUCGUGGAUCAGAAUGCCACGGUGAAUACGUUCCCGGGCCUUGUACACACCGCCCGUCACACCAUGGGAGUGGGUUGCAAAAGAAGUAGGUAGCUUAACCUUCGGGAGGGCGCUUACCACUUUGUGAUUCAUGACUGGGGUGAAGUCGUAACAAGGUAACCGUAGGGGAACCUGCGGUUGGAUCACCUCCUUACCUUAAAGAAGC
rnacentral:rRNA from 1 species